rnacentral:lncRNA from 1 species
AGUUCCCGUUCCUUUCCGCGGCCGACUGCGGUCUUGAGGGUGCUGGACUGCCGCGGGGUGCGUGGCGCUCGGGGGCGCCGGCUGACGGCGGCCUGGAGGGCGUCCUCGGCGGUGUCUGGACGCGCGCUUUGCCUCUUCUCUGCGACAGAUGCGCCAGAGUUUUAAGUUAACCCCCAGGUCUCACGUAUCCUAAGUGAUCUACCUAUAACCUAGAUGCUGCUUUACUUUUUCUAAGGGACUUUGAAGCUCUUCGUAAAACACCAGGGAAGAUAAAGCUCUAGGUGCUUUGUGAUGGUUUGAUUUUUUAAAUUUAUGUUUUGCAGUGUCCGAUUUUUACCCCUGCCUUUGCUGGGGCUAUCCAUGUAUAUGGAUGUAUGUGUAUAUUUCUCUUUGCUUUCUGCAUGGUACAUGUGUGCGUACGUAGAUGGACACGCGAUGAAAAGUCAUGGAGAGCUUGCCUCUUGCUCUCCUCCAGGACUCCCUGGCUCUAGUCUUGGGAAAAUCCGACCUUCUUAUGGCUGCCUUAUCUGUAAAUUAGAAAUAAGCCUUUCCUAAUAAGACUUAUUUCUGUAAAUAAGCCUUACCUAUCUUCAGGCCCAGGAUAAAUUACAGCUAUGGAAAAAAAUACUGCUUAGGAGAAUCACCUGGAACCAAGUUCUAAACAGAAUAUGUGUAUUUCUUUCUUUUUGUACUAUAAAAGUAACCAAAUAGCCAGAAUAAGCCAGCCAUUUGUUAAAACCCCAUGAGUAUGGGAAAUUUUUCUAGCUAGAGAGCUUUGUUUUUUCCCAGUGGGACUUUACCUUGUAGUUUUCAUGCUUAAAAUUUUGUGAGGAGAAGAAAGAAUUUGAAAGAUCAUAAAAGACAGCAACUCUUUAAAAGCUGUAAAUUUAAAAGUUAUCUAUUAGAGAAAACCUAUCACUACUGCCAAAGGGCGUUUAGCAGUUGGAUACCUCAGGUUCAACAGGAGGACCAUUAUUCAGAGUUUAAUCAGAUUUUUAAAAUUUGAAUGGGACUUCAUUUAGUAAAACUAUUCAUGGUGUUCUGGCUUUCUCUUUGCAUAAAUGUGGUCAAGAAUGUGUGUUUAGCUUCACUAUGGCCAGCAAACAAUGAUGCUGUAUCUUAUAGAUUCCCCUCUCCAACAACAUAUUUCGCUGGCAUAUUUUAUUCUCAUAGCCAUUCCUAUAGUGUAGAGAUUUUCGACAAUCCUUGUCUGCCCAGAGCAACAUUACUUAUUCAAUAAAUUGAGUUUAAAUUGCAAGUCUUUUGCCUGCAAAACUUAACAUACAUUCUCAUAUAUAUUUAUAUAUAUGAGCUAUAUAUAUAAUUAACGUAUAAUGAACACAAUUGUAGAUCAGAUCAAACACCAUGUUACCAUGUUAAGAACAAUAGUUAGGCCAACAUUUCAACUUUGAAAAUAUUUUCUUUAAGAGCUCCUGAAUUCCUCCAGCUUCCCCUUCCUGAAUUCAGACUGCAGAGCCUCUCAGUUACAAACUAACAGGAAUCACAGAAUUAGGUGUUUUUGUUUCGCUUGAGUUGUAGUUUAUUUUGGGAAGGAAAUGGGAUAUCACUGGGAUAAAGUUUAUUAUCUCCUUCCUCAGUUGAGUAAAUAGUGAAUAUCACGUACCAAUGAAUAAGAAGCCUACAAAGGUAAGACACAUCUUAGUGAGGAAACUACAGCAUAGAGAAAAGAGUAAGACAGAAAUAACCGUAAUUAUGGCCAGGCACGGUGGCUCACCCUUGUAAUCCCAGCAGUUUGGAAGGCCGAGGUGGGUGGAUCACCUGAAGUCAGGAGUUUGAGACCAGCCUGACCAACAUGGUGAAACCCCAUCUCUACUAAAUACAAAAAAUUAGCCGGUCGUCGUGGUGCAUGCCUGUAGUCCCAACUAGUUGGGAGACUGAGGCAGGAGAACCUCUUGAACUCCGGAGGCGGAGGUUGCAGUGAGCUGAGAUUGUGUCAUUGCACUCCAGCCUGAGCAACAAGAGCAAAACUCCGUCUCAAAAAAAAAAAAAAAAGAAAGAAAGAAAGACCUGUAAUUAUAGGUCGGGCACGGUGGCUCACGCCUAUUAUCCCAACAGUUUGGGAGGCCGAGGCAGGCAGAUCACCUGAGGUCGUCGGGAGUUUGAGACCAGCCUGGCCGACAUGGUGAAACCUUGUCUCUACUAAAAAUACAAAAAUUAGCCGGACAUGGUGGCACGUGCCUUUAACCCCAGCUACGUGGGAGGCUGAGGCACGAGAAUCAUUUGAACCCAGGAGGCAGAGGUUGCAGUGAGCCGAGACCGUGUCAUUGCACUCCAGCCUAGGCAACAGAGUGAGACUCUGUCUAAAAAAACAAACAAACAAACAAAUAAAAAAAUAGAAAGAGAGAGAGAGAGACAGAUGUCCUAUCGAAACAAUCCCUAAGAGGGGGGCCUGGGCAUGGAUAUGUUUUGUUUGAUUUAUUUUUUAUUUUUAUUUAUUUAUUUUUUUUUUUUUUUUUGAGACAGAGUCUCACUCCGUCACCCAGGCUGGAGUGCAGUAGCACGAACCUGGCUCACUGCAAGCUCUACCUCCCGGGUUCACGCCAUUCUCCUGCCUCAGCCUCCUGAGUAGCUGGGACUACAGGCGCCCGCCACCAUGCCCGGCUAAUUUUUUUUUGUAUUUUUUAGUAGAGACGGGGUUUCACCAUAUUAGCCAGGAUGGUCUUGAUCUCCUGACCUCAUGAUCCACCUGCCUUGGCCUCCCAAAGUGCUGGGAUUACAGGCAUGAGCCACCGCGCCCGGCCUGUGGAUGUGUUUUAAACCCACUCCCCAGGUACCUGAAACGUGCAGCCAGUAUUGAGAACUACCGACAAAACAGUCCUCAAACCCCAAAAGAUUGCAGAUAUGGAAAUUAAUGCCUAAAGAUGUUAAGUGACUUAACAAGAGCUAGACCAAUUAACUCUGCAAUUCGAACAGGAACACAUAACUCUUUAUUUCUUUUAUUUUUUUAUUUUUGUGAAAACAAGAUCUCACUCUGUUACCCAGGCUGGAGUGCAGUGGUGCAAUCAUAGCACACUGCAGCCUCAAACUCCUGGGCUCAAGUGAUCCUCCCACCUUGGCUUUCCCAGUAGCUAGGACUACAGGCAUGCACCACCAUACCUGGCUAAUUUUUAAAUUUUUAGUAGAGACAAAGUCUUUGUUGCCCAGGCUUAUCUUGAACUGCUGGAUUCAAACGAUCCUCCUGCCUCUGCCUCCCAAAAUGCUAGGAUUACAGGCACAUACCACCAUGCCCAGCAGAACACAGAACUCUUGAUUCCAUGGUCAAAUGUUCCACUAUAUUUGAAUUAAAAAGAUAUCAUCAAUAAAUACAGCAGAGGGCAUUGUCACAGUUACAGAACGGUGGCUGUUUGGCACACCUACCGAAUUGACAUUCUACUUAUGUUUAUCUGGACUCUGAGAAAUAUUUCAUUUGGAAAAAGUAUCCACUGUCUUUUUGGGGUUUUUAAUUUCCUUUUCUUAGAAACCUUAUAUUAGGCUGGGUGCAGUGGCUCAUGCCUCUAAUCCUAGUACUUUGGGAGGCCAAGGCAGGAGAAUUGCUUGAGCCUGCGAGGUCCAGGCUGCAGUGAGCCAUGAUGGCACUACUGCACUACACCCUGGACAACAGAGCAGGACCCUAUCUCAAAAAAAAAAAAAACCUUUGUAGUAAAGGGUAGAGACAGUAUAGUUUUGUUGAUAGUUUGUUCUGGCUUUCAUUUCAGUUUUUCCCAAACUAACUGUAGAGUUCAUAAAUCCAUAUUGCAUUUUUGUGAAAGUUUUGCAUGCAAAAUUGUGGAUCUGUAGUUCCAUUAACAGUAGAAAGCCAUAAAGAGGUUUUGAGCAGGAAGGUGCCAGUAUUGGAGCUGCCCACCUUUACCUGGAAUGUCUGUGAGACAAAUGAGGGCAGAAGUAGAAACAGGGGCAGAGAAGAGACAAGGACCUAAAACCAAAGUAGCUGUGGGAAUGGAAAGGAGGGCCAAGAGUGAAAUGGGAGACAGUGCAAUGUUCAGAAUUUGCCAGUGACUAACUCUGAGGCAGAAGAAAGAAUCAAAAGUCAGAGAGUGGGCCAGGAGCAGUGGCUCAUGCCUGUAAUUCUAGCACUUGGGAAGGCCAAGGUGGAAGAUCGCUUGAGGCCAGGAAUUCAAGACCAAACUGGGCAACAUAAUGAGACCCCAUUGCUACAAAAAAUAAUUUUUAACCUGCCAGGCUCAGUGGCUCACACCUGUUGUCCUGGCUACUCAGGAGACUGAGGAGGGAGAAUUGCUUGAGCCCAGGAGUUCAAGGCUGCAGUGAGCUAUAAUCAUGCCACUGCACUCCAGCUUGGGCAAGAGAGCAAGAUCCUGUCACCAAAAAAAAAAAAAAAAAAAAAGUCCGUGAACUCUGAGUGACGGCAGUAUGUGCAACAGUGGGACACGCAAGAGAGGAACUGGGUCAGAGGAGAUGUGGACCCUUGAAUCAGGAGAUCCUGGACUCAGGAGGAAGGGAAUGGCUGGUGGGGGAAAUGCUGGUCUGAAAUGUGUAGGGCAAUCCUGGAGAUCAACAUCAGGGAGCUCUCUAUGUAGAAUUUAGUAUGGAAGCCACAGGAGUGGGGAAGAAAGAACUACCGAAGGAAAAAAAAAGAGGAGUGGUCAGAAAGGUAGGAGAUGAAGCUGGUAGUACGGUGUUCUGGAAGCCGAGGGUACAGUGAGCCUGAAGCACAUGGUAAUAAAAAUUGUCAGAUGCUACAGAUUUCGAGCAUUAGAACGGAGGAAAGGCCACUGGAUCUGACAAACAAGAGACUCAGUGACCUUCUAGAGAACAGUUCUCAGUAGGAUGGUAGGGAGAGAAGCCAAGUUUCAAAAGCUGAAGCCAUGUGAUUAUAAACCACAAGUCCAAGACGUCUGGCAGUGAAAGGAAAGCAGGAGAUAUAAGACUAGAUUAGGGCAGUAACAAAAAUAAGGGAAAGGUUUUGUUUUCUUUUAGGUAUUUAUUUUAAAGAAUGGGCAUCUCUGAGCACUUUUAUAAAUGGAGGAGAGAUGUAGAGGGGGUAAAAGGACUGAAAUCCAGAAGGGAGGUAAAAUUCAGAGCACAGUGAUUUGUGUUGGCAAGCAAGAAAGCCCUAUCUUCCUCAGAAACGAGGAGAGGAAGCUGUGAAAAACAGCUCUAGGGAGGUUUUGGUGGGUGAGACAGAGGUGAUGGAGUGGAGUUCAAACCCUUUCUCCUCCUUGGUGAAUCAAGCACAGAGUCUCCUGCUGAGGGUUGCUCUGGAAACUGGAGGAGAUUCGGGACAAUAGUUAGAGGGAAGCAAAUCAAGAAGAAUGAAAAAAGAAGAGCGACAAGAAACUGCUUUCUCCAAAAAGUCUUGGCAGUCCAUAAUCAGGCCUAGGACGGAAAGAUCAGGCUGAGGCUGUGGAGCCCCCCGCAGAGGUGGACAUAUGCAGCUAAGGGAAAUCGAAGGCGCUCUGCUAAAGGAAAUGGUAACGGAUCCAGCUUACUCAGGGUCUUUGAGGGAUCUGUGCUUUUAAGUAGAAAGUGUUAUAAAAUGGGUGUUCCCCUCAAAAGAAAUGUUAGAAAUGUUCAGUUGUUACAAGAACAUGUUCUCAGACGCGUUGCAGAAAAUGUCAUUUGUAUAAACUGCAACGUAUCUUCCAUUCUCUGUGUAUGAUCAACAUGAUUCCCAAGUGGAAAAAACAUCUUAACAGUAGAAAAUGCAAUGUAACAGGCUAGGUGCGGUGGCUCACUCCUGUAAUCCCAGCAUUUUGGGAGGCCCGGGUAGGUGGAUCACCUGAGGUUAGGAGUUCGAGACCAGCCUGGUCUACAUGGCAAAACCCCAUGUCUACUAAAAAUACAAAAAAUUAGCCAGUCGUGGUGGUGGGUGCCUGUAAUCCCAGCUACUCGGGUGACCGAGGCAAGAGAAUUGCUUGAACCCGGGAGGCAGACGUUGCAGUGAGCCAAGAUCACGCCAUUGCACUCCAGCCUGGGCGACAGAGCAAGACUCUGUCUCAAAAAAAAAAAAAAAGGAAGAAAGAAAGGGAGGGAGGGAGGGAGGAAGGAAGGAAGGAAAGAAAGGAAAUAAACGUAUUUAAUAAUGUUGCCUAAUCUGUAUGCAUGCAGUACAGGACACAGUUUUGUGGAACAUAGUACCAUCCUGUGACCUUCCUCUAUGUCCACCACAAAUCUGCCUGAAAAAAAAAAUCUCUCCUGAGAGGACCAGAUAUGCUUGUGAAGCAUCAGAGAAAAUACAGCUUGUUUGACAUUUCAAAAUCCUGGUCUGUGCUAGGACUGGUCUCAUCUUGAUGGGUAUAAAUUUGUGCUUAUAGGAACACAGUCACUCUAUAUCCAGACUAAGAAAUUUUUGUAGAUUUUUCAACUAAGUAUCCCUGUAAGCUAGACUUACGGAAUUAGGAAAAAAAAAUGUUGAAGUUGUAUUGAGUCUCUUUUUUUUUUUUUUUUUUUUUUUUUGAGACAGGGUCUCACUCUGUCGUCAAGGCUGUAGUGCAGUGUUGUGAUCAUAGCUCACCGCAGCCUCAACCUCCCAGGCUCAGCCUCCUGGGUAGCUGGGACUAUAGACACGCACCACCACACCUGGCCAAUUUUUUUAUUUUUUAUAGAGUCAGGGUUUCGCCAUGUUAUCCAGGCUGGUCUCAAACUCCUGGGCUCAAGUGAUCCUCCAGUCUCCCAAAGUGUUGGGAUUAUAGGCGUGAGCCACUAAACCCAGCCAGUACUAUGUCUUUUUUUUUUUUUUUUUUUUUUUGAGACGGAGUUUCGCUCUUGUUGCCCAGGCUGGAGUGCAAUGGCACAAUCUCGGCUCACUGCAACCUCCGCCUCCCGGGUUCAAGCGAUUCUCCUCCCUCAGCCUCCCGAGUAGCUGGGAUCACAGGCUGGUAUUACAGGUGUGAGCCACCGCGCCUGGCUGUUGUAUCUUUUUAAGAAGUUUGGAAACAUCAAGUAUCUGAAACAACUUCGCUUGUGAUCUUAUCUGGGGAAGUUUUGUAAGAGGCAAAGCUGUGAGCAGAGAGAGCAUGAACUUUGGAGUCAAACAGCCCUGAGUUGAAAUCCUGCUGUCCUCUCUGAGUGCCAGUGUCCUCAGUGUCCUCAUCUGAAAAAUUCUGGGUGAUAUUUCCCUGGCAGUUACUGAGGGUCCAAAGAGACAAGAGCUGAAAGGCCUGGCAAUACUCUUAAGUGUUUGAUAAAUGUUGGUUUCCUCGCUCUGCAUUUCAUUUAAUCCAGGUAACAUUUACUGAGGAAUGACCCCAUAUCAGGUACUGUGCUGAGAACAGCAAUUCAGAGACAGGUAAGGCUGUAUCUACAACAGGGGCCAACAGUCCAGUGGAGGACAAUCCCUAACUUAGGGUCUCCAUGCCCUGGAGGGGCCCAUGAACUUGGAUGGAAAGAAAAUACAUCUUUAUUUCUUCUAACUUUUAACUGAAAUGCAGUAUUUAUAACAAUUGUCAGUGUAGUCAACAUACUAUGGUAGUAUUAAUACAUCUAUGGCCCUGACACCAGUAGAAAUCAUAGAUUUUUUUAGAUCAUAUUACAUUAUUGAGUAGGUUACUAAAGAAGUACUUCAGGCCAGGCAUGGUGGUUCACGCCUGUAAUCCCAGUACUUUGGGAGGCUGAGACAGGAGGAUCACUUGAGGUCAGGAGUUCAAGACCAGCCUGGCCAGCAUGGUGAAACCCCAUCUCUACUGAAAAUACAAAAAUUAGCCGGGUGUGCUGGCGCAUGCCUGUGAUCUCAGCUACUCAGAAGGCUGAGGCAAGAGAAUCGUUUGAAUCCAGGAGGUGGAGGUUGCAGUGAGUCAAGAUCACGCCACUGCACUCUGGCCUGGGCAACAGAGCGAGACUCCGUCUCAGAAAAAAAAAGUACUUCAAUUGGACUGAGCGUGGUCACUCACGCCUGUACUCCUAGCACUUUGGAAGGCAGAGGCAGGUGGAUCACAUGAGGUCAGGAAUUCGAGACCAGCCUGGCCAACAUGGUGAAACCCAGUCUCUACUAAAAAGUCAAAAAAAAUUAGCUGGAUGUAGUGGUGUGCACCUGUAGUCCUAGCUACAUGGGAGGCUGAGGCAGGAGAAUCACUUGAACCUGGGAGGUGGAGGCUGCAGUGAGCUGAGAUCACGCCACUGCACUCCAGCCUGGGCGACAGAGUGAGACUUUGUCUCAAAAAAAAAAAAUGUCUGGGUACAGUGGCUCAUGCCUGUAAUCCCAGCACUUUGGGAGGCCUAGGCGGGCAGAUCACCUGAGGUCGGGAGCUCAAGACCAGCCUGGCCAACAUGGUGAAACCCCGUCUCUACUAAAAAUACAAAAAUUAGCCGGGUGUGGUGGUGCAUGCCUGUGAUCUCAGCUACUUGGGAGGCUGAGGCAGGAGAAUUGUUUGAACCCGGAAGGUGGAGGUUGCAGUGAGUCGAGAUCACACCACUGUACUCCAGCCUGGGCAACAGAGCAAGAUUCCGUCUCAAAAAAAAGAAAAAAAAAAGUGAGUAAGAAGUACUUCAAUUAAUAUUACAGAUUUUUAAAAACAUUUUAAUAACUAUAUUUCAAUUUAAUUGGCUUCCUUGUAAUCUCAUUUCUGUCAUGCAUUUAAAAAUUAUUCUGAACUGGCUGUGACAGAGAAAAGGUGAAGAAACCCUAGUCAAGUUAGUGGAAAAUUGAAUUUUAUGAAUGUUUCAGGACAGAGAGGCAAAUUCCAUAUCAAAUAAUCAAAUGAGUAAUGUCCCAGCAUAGGACACAGAGGAGACAAGCCAUGCAGUUCCCUUGGAAAACAGAGAUGGGCAGUGACUGUGUUUUGCAGGUGAAUAUGAUUUGCCGAGCAAGGAGGAAGGAGAAAGGCAGACUGGAGACAGUGGGAAAAAUGAGUGACUCACUGAGGGGCAAGACAUGUCUCAAUGAGAACACCUGGAAAGCUGAGAAGCAGGGUUGACAUCUGGUCAACCUCAAAUAUGCUCUAAGUCUAACCCAUGUGAACCACCUCAGAGUGGAUAUUGACCCAGUUUAUAGUUUGUAUAAGCAAAUAUCUUCCCAUUUCAAUGCUGACAGCCGUGUGCAGUGGCUCACACCUGUAAUCCCAGCACUUUGGGAGGCCGAGGCAGAAUGUUUACUUGAGGCCAGGAGUUCGAGACCAGCUUGGCCAACAUGGUGAAACCCCUUCUCUACUAAAAAUACAAAAAGUAGCUGGGCAUGGUGGCAGGCGCCUGUAAUCCCAGCUGCUCUGGAGGCUGAGUCAUGAGAAUCACUUGAACCUGGGAGGCAGAGGUUGCAGGGAACUGGGAUCAUGUCACUGCACUCCAGCCUGGGCGACAGAGCAAGACUCUGUCUCAAAAAUAAAUAUAUACACACACACACACACACACACACACAUAUAUAUAUGUAUGCUUACAAGGUUACACGUCCACCAUCCCAAACACACACACACAUACACACCACACACACAUAUAUACACACACACACCACACAUACCCACACACACAUAUAUAUACACAUACAUAUACAUUACACACCCACACUUAUACACACACAUACCAUACACACAGCCUUUUUUUUUUUUUUUUUUUUUUGAGACGGAGUCUCACUCUGUUACCCAGGCUGGAGUGCAAUGGUGCAAUCUUGGCUCACUGCAACCUCCGCCUCCCAGGUUCAAGCGAUUCUCCUGCCUCAGCCUCCUGAGUAGCUGGGAUUACAGGCACACGCCACCACGCCUGGCUAAUUUUUGUAUUUUUAGCAGAGACAGGGUUUCACCAUAUUGGCCAGGCUGGCCUCAAACUAUUGACCUUGGGAUCCGGCCACCUCUGCCUCCCAAAGUGCUGGGAUUACAGGCGUAAGCCACCGUGCCCGGCUGGCACAGUCUUAUACAAGACAAAAUGUACUAAUCUAGAACCUAAAUCUUCAUUACAUGUUUAAUUAUACAAUACUCGUGGAAUUAAAAAUAUGCUGCCUUUUUGCCAAACACUAAAGUGAUGUUAACGAAAAGUAAUUCCAAAGUAGUGAAGUUAGGAAUGCCACAAUAUUUUUCAUUCCUUUCUUUCCAGUCAUUUCGGAGACCACAAAGUUUAAAAAUAUUUCAAAAUAUUCGAAAGUAUCCAUGACGUCAUUUGAGUAGUUCUUAAAUUCACCAAAGUGAUUCAUGCAAAUGACUUAUUUGCUUCAAAAACUAUCUACAAAUUCAAAUAGUGGACCAAGGAGAAAAAUCUGCACAACAGUUUCAGUGUAACCAAGAUCACAAUAUUCAAUAUUACCUUCAAUAUGGCAGAUUUAUAGUAGACGUAAGUUUAAAAUACACAAGCUAAAAUUUUUAAAGGGGCUAAUCAGAAAGAAAUGUAGUUUUUAUGACAUACAAAAUUAUUCAGUGAUUCCACAUAAGAGGUAAUGCAUGAAUUCUACAAUUCCUUAACUCAUUGGCUGCUGGUAUUCAUUCAUUACUUGGAACUUUAACAGCUUCCUAGUAAACAGAAAGUACCUUUCCUAUAUGUGAGAUAUUUUGACUGAUAUAUCCUGAGUACCCAGAAUGGUGCGUGGCACACACAGUUACUGAAGAAGUAUUUGUUGAAUGAAUUGAUUAACUUUACUUUCUUGAUUUUAUACGUCAGGAUAUUUUCACCCUGACUACUUUUGUCCAAUGACCUAACACAUUUAAACUUUGCUCAAGAAUUUAGAACAGGCUGGGCACAGUGGCUCACACCUGGAACCUCAGCACUUUGAGAGGCCAAGGUGGGAGGAUCGCUUGAGCCCAGGAGUUCGCGACCAGCUGUCUCAAACAUAGGGAGACCCUGUCUCUACCAAAAGUAAUUCAAAAAAUUAGCCAGGUGUGGUGGCACACACCUGUGGUCCCAUCUACGUGGGAGGCUGAGGUGGGAGGUCACCCUGGGAGGUCGAGGUUACAGUGAACCACUCCACCCUGGGCUACAGAGCAAGACCCUGUCUCAAAAAAAAAAAAGAAAAAAAAAAAGGGCCAAGCAGGGCGGCUCACGUCUGUAAUUCCAACAUUUUGGGAGGCCAAGGUGGAGAGGUCAAGGCUGCAGUGAGCUGUGAUCCUGCCACUGCACUCCAGCCUAGGUGACAAUGAGACCCUGUCUCAAAAAAAAAAAGAACUUAGGACAGUUUGAUAUUUCUCUUUGAUUCUUUUUUUCUUUCAGUUUGUAAUUUGCAUAUCUUGCACAGAAUUUUAAACGUUAAAUCUUAUAAAUGAAUGAAGAUGAAAACUGUAUCUAACAUUUACAUUAAUUUUUGCAUUUAACAAUCUUUUUUUUUUUUUUUUGAGAUGGAGUCUCGCUAUGUCACCCAGGCUGGAGUGCGGUGGCACGAUCUCGGCUGACUGCAAGCUCCGCCUCCCGGGUUCAGGCCAUUCUCUUGCCUCAGCCUCCCGAGUAGCUGGGACUACAGGCGCCCACCACCACGCCCGGCUAAUUUUUCGUAUUGUUAGUAGAGGCGGGGUUUCACCAUGUUAGCUAGGAUGGUCUCGAUCUCCUGACCUCGUGAUCCACCCGCCUCGGCCUCCCAAAGUGCUGGGAUUACAGGCGUGAGCCACUGCACCCGGCCAACAAUCUUUUAAGAAAAAACAAGGUAUAUUUUCUGAAAUUUGUCCAGCGUGUGGCAAUCUUCAGAAAACAUUUGUAUUUUUAGGAUAUUUAAAUAUGCAGAUCACUUCACUUCACCAUCAUUAUCUCAUUUUUAUCCUUAUCAGUGUUGUCAGGCAGCUGUUAUUUCCAAAUGAUGGAAGGGACAGAGAAGUUACAGCACUUGUGUUUUAAGAACUGGACCACAAGCACUUCAAGUCCUAACCCAGUGACCCUCCCCCAAGCCUUUCCAUCUGCAUCACUGGGGCCCAAAAGACUCAAAGCUAAUAGAUGUUUUUAUAAAAGAUCUGUGGACUGAAACUAAAUAUUAGUGCCCACUCUAAUUUUAAGAUUGGCUUUUUCAAGAAGCGAUCCUUGCAAAUAGAAUUUACCAGAACAGUUUUUAGGCCUCACCACACUUUUGAAAUAAGAAUCCAUCCCUAGGGUGGGGAAAGUUAGAAAUACCAUAUACACUCAACUUCAAACCAAUUUUUUUUUUCAUGACAGAGUCUCACUGCAUCGCCCAGGCUGGAGUACAGUGGUGCGAUCUCGGCUCAUUGCAACCUCUGCCUCCUGGGCUCAUGCAAUUCUCCUGCCUCAGCCUCCCAAGUAGCUGAGACUAUAGACACACGCCAUGCCUGGCUAAUUUCUGUGUUUUUAGUAGAGACGGGGUUUCACCAUGUUGGCCAGGCUGGUCUCGAACUCCUGACCUCCAGUGAUCCAUCCGCCUCGGCCUCCCCAAGUGCUGGGAUUACAGGCAUGAGCCACUGUGCCCAGCCAACUUCAACCCAAAUUUAAUCAGAUAAACUUCAAAAAAUAAUCUGAUCAUAUGAGCUACUUUCUCAGCCAAACUUUUAGGACAGGGGAUUAGCAUUGGCCUUACAGCACUUUGUUUUAGGAGACUGGCAUGAUUUCUCUUGAAAUGUUAGGGUCAGCAGAUAGGAUGCAGGGCUGUAAUGGGAUAAGGAAGCAAGCAGGUAAGGAGUUGACUGGAGCUGAUGCUCCUGGCAGGGUCGGGGUCAGGGAAAGAAGAUGCUGACAAGAUUGGGGCCCAGUCAGUACUCCAUUCAUCUGCCCCUGGGUUACCGUGAUGCUAGGAGGACCACCACAUAACACACAUCUGGAUGCUCUAGCAAGAUGUCAGAACCCUGCCUUGAGAACCAGCUGAAUUGCAGAACCAUAUCCUCCUCUUUUAUGUUCUUGUGGAAAUGUAAACAAUUUGGCCAGGCGCGGUGGUUCAUGCCUGUAAUCCCAGCACUUUGGGAGGCCAAGGCAAGAGGAUCACUUAAGGCUAGGAGUUCGAGACCAGCCUGGCCAACAUGGUGAAACCCCAUCUCUACUAAAAAUACAAAAAUUAGCCGGGCAUGGUGGCUCAUGCUUGUAGUCCCAGCUACUCAGGAGGCUGAGGCAGGAGAAUCACUUGAACUAGGGAAGCAGAGGUUACAGCGAGCAGAGAUCAUGCCACGGCACGCCAGCCUGGGCAACAGAGAGAGACUCUGUCUCAAAAAAAAAGAAAAAGAAAAAAGAAAAUGUAAACAAUUUACAACUCUGGCAGUAAAACACGAACAGCAGAUGAAGUUUACAGGCAUUGCCUUUAAUCCUAUUCAUGAUGAACAUAUUUUCUAAAAACAAGUCAUAGGCAAAAUAACCACUGUCCCCCAUUUUUUGAGGUAGUUGUUACACUUGCAUGUCAGUCAGGGUUCCAGGCAGAAAUAAAUAGCAUACUCCAGUGGGAAAAUUAAGAUUAUUUUACAAGGUAUUGGGCAAGGUUGAAGAAAACCAGCAAGGAUGGUGAAAUAGCCCUGACUGGCAAUGACAGGGUGCCAUUACCAAAUCCUGCAGAGAGAGACGUUGGUGCUGGGGAGGGCCACCUGGCAGGAGCAGUGGCCUUCCUAGAGAAGCACAGCAGGGAGCAAGCCAGGGUCAAUAUUCUGACGCCUUUCUCCUCUCUCCAGUCUCUGCCAGGGCCUCUCAUUGGCCAAACUAAACUGAUGACCUUAGGGCUCAGAAGCCUUUGAUGCAGUCCUGGCUGGUCUAUCUGUCUCAAGGGGCACAUGGCAGGGGGAGAAUGGAUCUGGAAGGACAAAUGGAGGCUCUCCAGCCAAUAAAAACUAUAGCAGAGCAAAUUUAAAGGAAUAGAUGUUUCCAGAGCUUUACUUGGAGGACACAGCUACUGACAUUUUGAAUCCCUUCUCCUAAGCAAAGAAUAUUCUAUCCAAAGACAAUGUAUUUUAAGAACAUCAUGAUUUUUUCUUCUACUACAGCAUGGUCUUAUGCCAUAAAAGGAAUUAUGCUAAUCCAGUCUAUCAGUGAAACUCAGAAAAGAUGGCUAUCAGAGGUGGCACAGAAACAUUUCAGGGAAAUAAUGGAGAGGCACCAAGAAAUGGCUUUCUAAAGCAGCAGGAAAAAAGUUGAAGUCCAUAAGCAGAUAGGUUACCAAUCCAGCAGCAUCUCUUAGGAAUGAAAUGAUUGAUCACAAAGGUAAGAUUUGUUGGAGCCCACAUUGAAUUUAAUGCCAGUCAUCCUUGUAUACUAAACUCUAUUUCCAUAGCUGGGAGAUAUGACAGACUUUCUUUUUGUGACACUUUGUUCUUAUGAUAUAGUUUUGAGUCUGUCUGUGGGAUUUCAAUCACCGAAAUCAGGAUUAGAGACAAGAAAUCUUCCUUAUAUUAUUAAGUAGGAAAGCAAUGUGUUAAGGAGCCAGCCCUAACUUGGAGAUAAAUCUAUUUUAAUAAAGCACAGACAUUCGUGAAUAAGAUGUGUCUUUGUGUUUAUCAUAAUAUCCCUGAAAACUUCUCUGAUCAUAAGGGAAAACCUCCCACCAAUAGAAUAUUAGCAGUUCAAUCACUAGGCCACCAUGCACAAAGGUUAACUCACAUUGUAGUGCCCCACAGUCGAUGGAACUGAAGUGUGAUGUUUUUCUUGUAUUACUGUGCUGUCAGACAAUGCCUGUCACAUUAGAAAAAAAAAAAUCUUCAAGAGAAAGACAUAAAAGAGCUAAGAAAAUAGACCUCUUUUUUUUUUUAAACAUUAGCUUUCCAUCAGAAAGCCACUUAUACUGUAUAACAACUGCCUGAACAGAUACUGUAUUGCAGCAUGGGUCAACAAGAGAGAGGAGCUCUCUUUGUUGAUUAUUUUCAACAGAAAAAUAUGUAAGAUGUCCAUUUAGAAGUGCUUUCUCUAGAGUGCAGAGCUGAAACGAAUACUAUUGCAAUCAACCUGCUAUUAUUCCUGUCUCAAAUGUAUGUUUUUAAAAAUUCUUUUGUCCUAUAAAGCACAAAGCUUUGUACAACUACGGUGAAAUCCUUGAGUCAUUUGACUGCUUCCCUAUGCAAUUCAAGAGCAGGUGAAAGGUAGACUAUGGAAGUAACAUACACAAAAAUAAUGAAGGCGACAAAACCUAAAUUAGUUCCUCACUGGAGUUUUUUUGUCUGAUUUUUAGAAAGAAUGAGAAUAUUUUAAAAUGGAACUUCUCAAGGACCUAGGAAUUAGGUAUCGAUUUAUUUUCCUGAAUUUACAGCCUCCAUAAACUUAAAAAGGAAAUGAGUGACCAUGGCAAAAACUGUUAUAAACUCUUCCCAACAUCCAUUCCCCUUUCCCUCUUUAGUAACAGAACAUCAGUUUCUAACAAAGUUGUUGCCCAGCUAAAUGCUUUUACUGUAUUUCCAAUUCUCUACUACAGCAAGGUGUGGCCAUGGCUGUGCCUUAGUUUUGCUCCAUAAUGUGUUUAUGAUAUAUACAAGUGAAAGUGUGGUUGUGAGGGAUUUUGUGAAAGUUUUCCGACGGGCACGGUGGCUCACGCCUGUAAUCCCAGCACUUUGGGAGGCUGAGAUGGGUGGAUCACCUGAGGUCGGGAGUUCGAGACCAGCCUGACUAACGUGGUGAAACCCUGUCUCUACUCAAAAUACAAAAAAAUAGCUGGGUGUGAUGGCAGGCACCUGUAGUCCCAGCUACUCGGGAGGCUGAGGCAGGAGAAUUGCUUGAACCCAGGAGGUGGAGGUUGCAGUGAGCCGACAUCAUGCCAUUGUACUCCAGCCCGGGCGACAAGAGUGAAACUGUAAUCCCAGCACUUUGAGAGUCCAAGGCGGGUGGAUCACGAGGUCAAGAGAUCGAGACCAUCCUGGCUAACACGGUGUAACCUGUCUCUACUAAAAAUACAAAAAAUUAGCCGGGCGUGGUGGCAGGUGCCUGUAGUCCCAGCUACUCAGGAGGCUGAGGCAGGAGAAUGGCGUGAACCCGGUAGGCGGAGCUAGCAGUGAGCCGAGAUCGCACCACUGCUGACAGAGCGAGACUCAGUCUCAAAAAAAAGAAAGAAAGAAAGUUUUCCUUAAAAGGCAGGAAAUAGGCCAUCCUACCCACCUCCACCUCCCUCCCUGGAGUAUGGAUGUGACAGCUGGAACUCCUAUGGCUAUCCUGAACCCUGAAGUGAUUUUGAGGCUGGUGGAGCAGAAGCCUGAAAGCCUGGAGCCCUGAUGAUUCCCUGGAGCCAUUGGAGGCCAUCCUUGGACUGCCUGUCCCCUGACAUUUGUACAUGAGAAAGAUACAUCCAUCCUAUUAUUUGAGGAUUUCUUUCUUUCCUUUUUUUUUUUUUUUUUUUUUUGGAGACACAGUCUCGCUCUGUCACCCAGCCUGGUCUCUGCAGCCUGGACCUCCUGGGCUCAAGCAACCCUCCAGCCCCAGCCUCCUGAGUAGCUGGGACUAGGCACAUACCACCAUGCCCAGCUAAUUUUGUAUUUUUUGUAGACCAGCCAUGUUACCCAGGCUGGUCUUGAACUCCUGGGCUCAAGUGAUCCUCCCAAAGUGAGCUCAAGGUGGGCUCCUGGGCUCAAGCUAGCCUUCCAAAGUGCUAGGAUUACAGGUGUGAGCCACCACACCUGGCCAGGAUUUUCUUUUUCAAUUAGCCUGAUAAAAUCACACUACACUCCUGAUGUGGAGGAAUUGCUCUUUUUCUUCAUCCUGCAGCUUUAUGGUUUUAUUUAUUUUAUUUAUUUUUAUUUUUUGAGACCAAGUCUUGCUCUGUGGUCCAGGCUGGAGUGCAGUAGUGCAAUCUCGGCUCACUGCAAUCUCUGCCUCCUGGGUUCAAGCGAUUCUCCUGUGUCAGCCUCCCGAGUAGCUGGGACUACAGGCAUGCACCACCACACACAGCUAAUUUUUGUAUUUUUAGUAGAGAUGGGGUUUCGCCAUGUUGGCCAGGCUGGUCUUGAACUCCUGACCUCAGAUGAUCCGCCCACCUUGGCCUCCCAAAGUGCUAGGAUUACAGGCGUGAGCCACCACGCCUGGCCAGUUUUAUUAUGUAUUUAUUUAUUUUUCUUUUGUAUGUUCAUUUUUUCUUUGAUAUAGGGUCUCUCUCUGUUGCCCAGGCUGGAGUGCAGUGGCGUGAUCUUGGCUCACUGCAGCCUUGACCUCCCAGGCUCAAGGGAUCCUCCCACCUCAACAUCCAGGUAGCUGAGACUACAGACAUGCCGCCACCAGACCACCAGGCUAAUUUUUGUGUUUUUUGUAGAGACGGGGUCUCGCCAUGUUGGCCAGGCUGGUCUCGAACUCCAGGGCUCAAGUGAUCUGCCCCUCUUAACCUCCCAAAAUGCUGGGAUUACAGAUGUGAGCCACUGCACCCGGCCAAGAAGGACUGUUAAAACAAACCUGACUACACCCUCUGACUUGACUGUACCUAGACUGUGACCACUGCAGUGGUGAAGACAUCUGGGUUCUUAAGUUUCUUAGCCCAAGGUCAGUUUCCCAGUGCAGAGGCCCAGUGGCCACGGGGCUGCCUGGCCGCAGGGCGGCUUCACGGGCUGCACACUUAGGAGCCUGCACACUUCGGGUUUGAUGCUCUGCAGCUGCUGUCUUGAAUGUAUUAAUAAUGUUAUCUUGGAAUUUGUGUUCUGUGAGCGAAGUCCAGUGGGGUGAUGGCGCGUGCGGUGGGAACCGGCACCUAGGUUCACCCAUGGUCUUGCUCCCAUGGCCUUCCCACCUCCCCAGGAUAUGUUCCCAUCCCUCUGUUACCGCCCAGUCACCACUGCUGUCCCCCUCCAUGGAUGGAGUCCUGAGCACAGGCAUGAGGAGGCUCCAGGUGGGUCAUGUACUCUGUGUACCGAGUCACCAAGCAAGAACCCAGGCGAGUAGGAGGUUUUGUGUUCACCCACGAAUAUCUUCAUUCCCAAGAGAACAUGACAUUAAAUAGCAAAUUAAAAACACCAUAAUUGGUGGAGAAAGAGACCGCAGGUGAAGGAAGGAAAAAGCUUUUUUCCAGCUUUUGAAUGAGGAGCCCCAUAUUUUCAUGUUGCCCUGACCCCUGCAAAUUACACAGCUGGCCUUGCCUUGCACAGAAAUGGAAAGGACCAAGGAACAGAGGCCAGGACCUGUGCCCAGUUCCACCUAGCUUUGCUGUAGGAGCAGGGCGGGCCUCCUGGGUGUGCUAGAGGCGCCGCCCUCCCCAGCCUCGCCGAUGCUCCAGCAGCUGAUGCUGGAAAUACAGGAAACUCAGCCAAGAAGCCUUUUCUAGUCCCAGUCAGGGAGUCAGUGGCACCUCCCACACCUGUGCCUCAGGGUCGCCUUGAUGCUUUUUUGAGCCAGGCUGCGUCCAGCUGUAAAUGCUUGGAGGCGGUGCGUGCUGGUAAAUGUUUAACAACUAGCUCUCUGGGGACAGGAGCCCUCAUUUGUAGCAUUUGCUGGUUGCCAUGGUGUAAAUAUUCCCACCAGGGCCAAUUUUUGAGCUACCAAUAUUUGAUAAUCUUGAAAAUUUAGCAAAAGUCUGGCCGGGCGCAGUGGCUCACGCCUGUAAUCCCAGCACUUUGGGAGGCUGAGGCAGGCAGAUUGCCUGAGGUCAGGAGUUUGAUUCGAGACCAAUCUGGCCAACAUGGUGAAACCCCAUCUCUACUAAAAAUACAAAAAAAAAAUUUAGCCGGGUUUGGUGGCGUGCGCCUGUAAUCUCAGCUACUCGGGAGGCUGAGGCAGGGAAAUAGCUUGAACCAGGGAGGUGGAGGUUGCAGUGAGCCGAGAUCACACCACUGCACUUCAGCCUGGGUGACAGAGCAAGAUUCCAUCUCAAAAAAAAAAAAAAAAGUCUUGAAAACUUAACAAUUGGCUUGGCUUUCACAAGCUAAUGCAAGUAGGGUAUUGCACACUACUGCUUGGAGGAACAAGGAAAGAGAACUCAUUGUGAUUUCAUCUAAAAUCUAGGAGAACAUGAACAGGGAAUUUACAGAAGAAAACCUGAAGAACCAGCAAAUAUGCAUCGGUGCUCAAACUCACCGGUGAUUAGGAUAAUGCAGAUGAAACACUAAGAAGAUACACCACUUUUUAAAAAUCAGGUGGAUAGCAAGGUUAAAUCUCAAGUUCCGGUGAGAUGCAUGACUUGGGAAUGUAAAUCUGUGCAGACACUUUGGAGAGCAAUUUGAUAGUAUCCAAUACAAUGUAGGAUGUAUGUAAGCCCCAAAGUUCCUCCUGGAGUUUAGGGACAUUCCUGCACGUGCUCAAGGAUGUUCUCUGAACUAUUCUUUUUUUGUUUUGUUUUGCUGUUUUGUUUUGUUUUUGAGACAGAGUUUUGCUCUGUCGCCCAGGCUGGAGUGCAGUGGUGCGAUCUCAGCUCACUGCAACCUCCGCCUCCUGGGUUCAAGCGAUUCUUCUGCCUCAGGCUCCCGAGUAGCUGGAAUUACAGGUGCACACCACCACACCUGGGUAAUUUUUGUUUUUUUUUAAUUUUUUGUAUUUUUCGUAGCGAUGGGGUGUCUCCAUGUUGGCCAGGCUGGUCUCGAACUCCUGACCUCAAGUGAUCCACCCACCUCAGCCUCCCAAAGUGCUGAGAUUACAGGCAUGAGCCACUGCGCCCAGCCCCAAAGUAUUCUAAUCAUAGCGAACUCCUGGUGCCAUCUCUUAGUCUCAACAAUGAUCAACUUGUGGCCAGCCCGGCUUCAGUUUUCUCUCCAUCUGCUUCUCCACCUUCCCAAAUUAUUUUGAGGUAAAUCUCAGACAUCCUAUCAUUUUGUCUGUAAAUAUAUUUCUAUCUCUGAAAGUAAAAAACAAACAAAAAGCCUGUGGUAGGCUUUUCGUUCAAUAUGAGAGAGAGAAACCCCAGCAGGGUUAUCAGGGAAGGGCAGAUAAAGAGGGGAAUUUUUACAAAGGUACUUUUACAGGAGCUAUGAAGUUUGGUUAGUCUAACAAUAACAUUUCCAGUGCAUUCCCUGAGGAAACUGUCCCUGUCCCCUCCCAGACACAGCAGGCUACAGGGGCAGCCUUCUGUUGCUUGGCGGAUUUUGAGGUCAAACAGAAUCUGUGCUAGGUAAUCAGCUUAGUGGAUAAAAAACCAAGAACUUACAUCUGCAGAGUACUUACAAACUCUCAGUGUAGGGGGUUGAUUCGUGUCUGUAUAAUGUUCCCUUGAAUAUUGUACUUCGUUGUCACUAUUUGAGAAUAUGUGCCUGAUUAGUAAUACCCAGUACAUAAAAAUACCAAAUAUAUAACUAACCACAUGAGCAGGCUUUAAAAUGAUGGUGACUUUAAUUGCUAAAUUCACUCCCAGUUCUAAAAUGUGGUUUGCAUGUAAUAUUUCAUCCAGAAAAAAAGGUUGCUAAUAGCAAUGUCAUUACAGAUUGUUUGUCAACCUUAAUCAAAAUAAUUUCCCUUUCCAAAUUGCUGCUUUAGUCUGUGCUUUGUGAAAGGAGUUUUAGAAUUUUGUUUUAAUCUGAAAAUCAAUCAGCUAGAGAGGUGAAAAAGUGGAAAAGGAAAAACAUGAGACAUGUCUGUAUUUUAAGAGAUUCUGUAGCAAAAGCUUCGUACACCAUACUCUAUGGUUUCCAAUUGAGUGCUAGAAAACUUCCAGAAUACAACAGAGAAAUUAUCCCUACAUGGAAUAUGGUUUCAUAAUUCCAACACACGAUACAUAAUUCCCCCACAUUGUUUCCUUAGUUUCAUUCAGUAAAAAUCAUUACUGUAUCUUUAGAUAAUAAGCAGUGAGUAGCCAGCUGAGUAGGAGAAGAUACUGGUGUGAAAGAACUGUGAUGUCUUGGGAAAAAAUUCCUGGGCUGGGCACAUUGGCUCACGCCUGUAAUCCCAGCACUUUAAGAGAUUCUCCCCCAAGCUGGGCAGAUCACCUGAGGUCAGGAGUUCAAGACCAGCCUGACCAACAUGGUGAAAACCCAUUUCUACAAAAAAUACAAAAAUUAGCCAGACGUGGUGGCACAUGCCUGUAAUCCCAGCUACUUAGGAGGCUGAGGCAGGAGAAUCGCUCAAACCCAGUGAGCCAAGAUUGUGCCACUGCACUCCAGCCUGGGCGAUAAAGCGAGACUCUAUCUGAAAAAAGAAAAAAAAAAGCCGGGCAUGGUGGCUCAAGCCUGUAAUCCCAGCACUUUGGGAGGCCAAGGCAGGUGGAUCACGAGGUCAGGAGAUCAAGACCAUCCUGGCUAACAUGGUGAAACCCCGUCUCUACUAAAAAUACAAAAAAUUAGCCAGGCGUGGUGGUGGGCGCCUGUAGUCCCAGCUACUUGGGAGGCUGAGGCAGGAGAAUGGCGCGAACUCGGGAGGCAGAGCUUGUAGUGAGCCGAGAUCACGCCACUGCACUCCAGCCUGGGAAACAGAGCAAGACUCUGUCUCAAAAAAAAAAAAAAAUUCUGGAGCACAAAGGAUCUGGUUCAUUUUUCGGUCAUGGGAAGUCAGCCUCUUGCCCUACCGCUGGUGCUACUAUCAGAGUGAAUCUUCAUCUGGAGCAAUGGCUAAAUUUAAAUAUAGUUACUGGAAUGGAACAUUGCUAGAUGAUGGAUGUCAGCUACUCUGAAAGCAGAAAAGACAGGGCUGUGGCCUCCACAUCCACAGAGCAGGAGGCAUUGUCCUCUGGACCCCCCUAAUUAUGCCUCUGUCCCUGAAGCAACAUGACAACUUUCCUCUCCAUACCCUGCAAUUCCUGUCCCACUUUCAUAAGCUCCAGAACAUUCUCUUUAUUGAUUACUUUUAUGUAUUAUAAAGACAGUUGGUUUAUUUUGAAAUUUUAUGCUGGGGAUGGGGAGUGGAGAGGCUCCUAAUGGGGUGCCCCUGCCUCUCCACUGUUUCUGCCUCGGCAGCAGGACAGCGUGGUGGCUCCAGGGUCACCUGUAUAACACCAGCUGUGGUAUUGAGCCAGACAUUGCCUCAGGUGGCCUCUGUUUACUCAUCCGUAAAAUGGGGAUAAUAAUACACUCACCUCAUAGGGUUGUUGUGAAGACUAAACGAGAACGUGUGUGCCCCAACCUCAGCAGCGUGAUGGAGAAAGGGGACCACAGGGCCGAGCCUCAGAGAAUCUCCUUCAGGGCCUCCUCAGCCCAAACUGCUUCCAGCUCCUUCUCUGCACAUGGGCCGGCCAGCCACUUCUCUCUAGGCCUCUUUUGUUUUUUUUAAAGGUGGGAGGGGUAGAUGAGAUCAUGAAUAAAUUCCCUUCCAGGCAUAAAGUUCUAUCAACUCCUUUUGAAAUGACUGACUCAGUGCAAAAUAUGCACAAUUCUAUAGUAUAUGACGCCGUGACCAAAUCACAGAGCUUCUCUUUCCAUAGAUUAAGCGUACAUGUGGGGCCUGGCACGGUGGCUCAUGCCUGUAAUUCCAGCACUUUGGGAGGCCAAGGCAGAUGGAUCAAUUGAGCCCAGAAAUUCGAGACCAGCCUGGGCAACACGACAAAACUCCUACAAAAAAUACAAAAUUAACCUGGUGUGGUAGUGCAUGUCUGUAGUUCCAGCUCCUCGGGAGGCUGAGGUGGGAGGAUCACAGGAGCCUACGAGGUUGAGGCUGCAGUAGGCAGUGAUGGCACCACUGCACUCCAACUGUGGUGACAGAAUGAGACCCUGUCUCAAAAUAAAAACGAAAACCCUCCAUGUGAGAAACUUGUGUAGGGCUCUAAGGCAGAUAAACCCAGAGGGAGCUGAUGGAUCCCCUGAUGAACAACGAAGUUUGUGUUUAUGAGCCCAGAGGAAUUGCCCUUUUACCCCAGUGAUAAAGGAUUUUUUUUUUCGGGACGGAGUCUCACUCUGUCGCCCAGGCUGGAGUGCGGUGGCACGAUCUCGGCUCACUGCAAGCUCCGCCUCCUGGGUUCACACCAUUCUCCUGCCUCAGCCUCCCGAGUAGAUGGGACUACAGGUGUCCACCACCUCGCCCGGCUAAUUUUUUUGUAUUUUUUUUAGUAGAGACGGGGUUUCACCGUGUUAGCCAGGGUGGUCUCAAUCUCCUGACCUCGUGAUCCACCCACCUCAGCCUCCCAAAGUGCUGGGAUUACAGGCGUGAGCCACCGCACCCGGCCUUUUUUUCGUUUUUUUUUUUUUUUUUUUUUUUUGAGAGAGAACAGUCUCGCUCUGUCGCCCAGGCUGGAGUGCAGUGGCACGAUCUCGGCUCACUUUAACCUGUGCCUGCUGGGUUCAAGCAAUUCUCCUGCCUCAGCCUUCUGAGUAGCUGGGAUUAAAAGCAUGUGCCACUAUGCCUGGCUAAAUUUUUUUUUUUUUUUUUGUAUUUUUAGUAGAGUCUGUUGGUCAGGCUGGUCUUGAACUCCUGACCUCAAAUGAUCUCUUUGUGUGUGUGUGUUUAUGUGUAUGUGUGUGGAAUGGAUGACCCUCCCUAAGGGCAUAAAGUGGGUACACCCACAUGUACAUUGACCUUGAUUUGUAUCACAUUUGACUGCUUGCAAAGCAUUUUCACCACCAUUAUCUCCCAAUUUAAUGAACUAAGCCAGAUUCUAGCAAUUUCACAAGAUCCGCUUCCUCCUGAGUAAAGCCUUUUCCAGAAAUGUCAACAGUUCUGGAGAAUGUGAGUAUCUUUGGGUCAUCAAAGUUGAGGCACCUUAACUGGGGAUCCCACCAAAAGAUUAUAGUGGCCACUUUUGAGAACACAUUUUUUCACUUACAUUGUUGAAUCAUAUGUGUGAGUGUGUUUGUGUAAGAGGCAUAUGUCAUGGAGUUUAAGAUGUACAUUUUUUCACGUUUAAUGUAUUUGAAUUUGGGAUGCAUCUCACAAUACAGUCUUAGCUUUCUGCCUUAAACCUGCACACUGACUGGGUUGAUAGUGUCACCUGGAACUUCAGAGUGUGACCUUAUUUGGAGAUAGAGUCUUUAUAGGUGCAAUCAUAAGAUGAGCUCAUACUGUUUUAGGGUGAGCCCUAAAUCCAGCAUGACCAGAUUCCUUAUAAGGAGAGGAAAGGACACAAAGAAGACACAGGGAAGAAGGCCAGGUGACAACGGAGGUAGAGUUUGGAGUGAUGUGUCUACAAGCCAAGGAACAGCAAGGAUUACUGGCAAACACCAAAAGCUUGGAAGAGGCAAAGAGGGCUCCCUUCCUAGAGCCUCUGGAGGAGGCACAGCCCUGCUAACACCUUGCCUGCUGAUUUUUAGCCACCAGAAAUGUGAGAGUGGCCGGGUAUGGUGGCUCAUACCUGUAAUCCCAGCACCUUGGGAGGCCGAGGCAGGAGGAUAACUUGGGCUCAGGGGUUUGAGACCAGCCUGGGCAACAUAGUGAGAUCUGGUCUCUACUAAGAAAAAAAAAUUAGUUGGGCAUGAUGGUAUGCACCUCUAGUCUUAGCUAUUCGGGAGGCUGAGAUAGGAGGAUCACUCGAGCCUGGGAGGCAGAGGUUGCAGUGAGCUGAGAUCGUGCCACUGCACUCCAGCCUGAGCAUUACAGCG